AGCCGUGUGAUAAGCACAUAGCGAACUAUUCUUUCGCCUUUUACUAAAGAAUACCGUGUGCUUGUUACUUAAAAGCGGCAUACGCAAUUUUUAGAAGGGUCUUUCUUAUUGAAAGACU
rfam:Cajanus cajan CcLG07_739, whole genome shotgun sequence.